CAACGUCAAGAGAAGGAAACUUGUUCGUGCAGGAGCCGCCGGAGGAAAAUGUCAAAAUGGAGAAAAUUAUUAGCAUGAGAAUGGAGGCCGUGCUCACUGCCUCACGACGGAGCUCUCCGAGGAUGUGACGCUGUGACGG
rnacentral:lncRNA from 1 species